rnacentral:rRNA from 1 species
AGAGUUUGAUCAUGGCUCAGGACGAACGCUGGCGGCGUGCCUAACACAUGCAAGUCGAGCGAGAAAGCCACCUUCGGGUGGCAAGUACAGCGGCGGACGGGUGAGUAACGCGUGAACAACCUACCCUUGGGACCGGGAUAACACCGGGAAACCGGUGCUAAUACCGGAUAAAUUCAGCUUGUCGCAUGGCGAGUUGAGGAAAGGGCUUACCGCCCGGGGAUGGGUUCGCGUCCCAUUAGCUAGUUGGUAGGGUAAGGGCCUACCAAGGCAAUGAUGGGUAGCCGGCCUGAGAGGGUGGUCGGCCACACUGGGACUGAGACACGGCCCAGACUCCUACGGGAGGCAGCAGUGGGGAAUUUUGCGCAAUGGGGGAAACCCUGACGCAGCGACGCCGCGUGAGCGAAGAAGGCCUUCGGGUUGUAAAGCUCUGUCACAGGGGAAGAAGGAAUGACGGUACCCUGGGAGGAAGCCCCGGCUAACUACGUGCCAGCAGCCGCGGUAACACGUAGGGGGCGAGCGUUGUCCGGAAUCACUGGGCGUAAAGGGCGCGUAGGCGGUUAUUCAAGUCAGGUGUGAAAGCCCAGGGCUCAACCCUGGAAUUGCACUUAAAACUGGAUAACUUGAGGGCAGGAGAGGUAAGUGGAAUUCCUGGUGUAGCGGUGAAAUGCGUAGAUAUCAGGAGGAACACCAGUGGCGAAAGCGACUUACUGGCCUGGCCCUGACGCUGAGGCGCGAAAGCGUGGGGAGCGAACAGGAUUAGAUACCCUGGUAGUCCACGCCGUAAACGAUGGGUACUAGGUGUAGGAGGUAUCGACCCCUUCUGUGCCGCAGCAAACGCAUUAAGUACCCCGCCUGGGGAGUACGGCCGCAAGGCUGAAACUCAAAGGAAUUGACGGGGGCCCGCACAAGCGGUGGAGCAUGUGGUUUAAUUCGACGCUACGCGAAGAACCUUACCGGGACUUGACAUCCCCUGAUGUCCUGUGGAAACACGGGUUUCCCAUUUGGGACAGGGAGACAGGUGGUGCAUGGCUGUCGUCAGCUCGUGUCGUGAGAUGUUGGGUUAAGUCCCGCAACGAGCGCAACCCUUGUCCUUAGUUGCCAGCACGUAGAGGUGGGCACUCUAAGGAGACUGCCGGUGACUAACCGGAGGAAGGUGGGGAUGACGUCAAGUCAUCAUGCCCCUUAUGUUCCGGGCUACACACGUGCUACAAUGGCCUGUACAAAGGGCAGCGAAGCCGUGAGGUGGAGCGAAUCCCAUCAAAGCAGGUCUCAGUUCGGAUUGCAGGCUGCAACUCGCCUGCAUGAAGUUGGAAUCGCUAGUAAUCGCAGGUCAGCAUACUGCGGUGAAUACGUUCCCGGGCCUUGUACACACCGCCCGUCACACCACGAAAGCUGGCAACACCCGAAGCCGGUGCCUCAACCCGGCACUUACUCUAGUGUUUAGUGCUAGAUCAUCCCAAUAGUUAAUAGUCGAAAUAAGAACUUAAGGGAUAAGAAGAAGCUAAGCACCGGAGUAAGUGCCGGGAGAGAGCCGUCGAAGGUGGGGCUGGCGAUUGGGGUGAAGUCGUAACAAGGUAACC